rnacentral:tRNA from 1 species
AGCUUAAGUGGUGUAAGUAACACAUUAAGUUGUAAACUUAAUAAUACGUAAGUCUAAGCUU